UACGUAGGGUGCAAGCGUUGUCCGGAAUUAUUGGGCGUAAAGAGCUCGUAGGCGGUUUGUUGCGUCGGCUGUGAAAUCCCGAGGCUCAACCUCGGGUCUGCAGUCGAUACGAGCAAACUAGAGUGUUGCAGGGGAGACUGGAAUUCCUGGUGAUAGCGGUGAAAUGACGACAGAUAGUCAGGAGGAACACCCGGUGGCGAAGGCGGGUCUC
rnacentral:rRNA from 1 species